AUGAACGCUGGCGGCGUGCCUCAUACAUGCAAGUCGAGCGAACGGACGAGAAGCUUGCUUCUCUGAUGUUAGCGGCGGACGGGUGAGUAACCCGUGGAUAACCUACCUAUAAGACUGGGAUAACUUCGGGAAACCGGAGCUAAUACCGGAUGAUAUUUUGAACCGCAUGGUUCAAAAGUGAAAGACGGUCUUGCUGUCACUUAUAGAUGGAUCCGCGCUGCAUUAGCUAGUUGGUAAGGUAACGGCUUACCAAGGCAACGAUGCAUAGCCGACCUGAGAGGGUGAUCGGCCACACUGGAACUGAGACACGGUCCAGACUCCUACGGGAGGCAGCAGUAGGGAAUCUUCCGCAAUGGGCGAAAGCCUGACGGAGCAACGCCGCGUGAGUGAUGAAGGUCUUCGGAUCGUAAAACUCUGUUAUUAGGGAAGAACAUAUGUGUAAGUAACUGUGCACAUCUUGACGGUACCUAAUCAGAAAGCCACGGCUAACUACGUG
rnacentral:rRNA from 1 species